rfam:Streptomyces sp. SPB74 genomic scaffold supercont3.1, whole genome shotgun sequence.
CUUCUUCUCUCUUUACUCGGAUCGUCCGGCACGUUCCUGCCGGUGAAGGGGGCCCGCA